rnacentral:rRNA from 1 species
UACGGGGGGAGCAAGCGUUGUUCGGAUUUACUGGGCGUAAAGGGCGCGUAGGCGGCCAGCGCAAGUCAGUUGUGAAAUCUCCGGGCUUAACUCGGAAAGGUCAACUGAUACUGCGCGACUAGAGUGCAGAAGGGGCAACUGGAAUUCUCGGUGUAGCGGUGAAAUGCGUAGAUAUCGAGAGGAACACCUGCGGCGAAGGCGGGUUGCUGGGCUGACACUGACGCUGAUGCGCGAAAGCCAGGGGAGCGAACGGG